UUUUGUUAAUAAUUUAAAGUUUAAUUUGCCCACUGAUAAAAAUUAAAGGGCUGCAGUAUUUUGACUGUACAAAGGUAGCAUAAUCAUUAGUCUCUUAAUUGGUGACUUGUAUGAAAGAUUGGAUGAGAUAUAAACUGUCUUAUUUUUAAAUUUAGAAUUUAAUUUUUUAUUAAAAAAGUUAAAAUAUAUUUAAAAGACGAGAAGACCCUAUAGAGUUUUAUUUAUAAUUUAAUUAAAAAUUUUUUUAUUAAAUUUAAAUUUAAAUUAGAUUAUAAAUUUUGUUGGGGUGAUAGAAAAAUUAAAUUAACUUUUUUUAAAUUAUAAAUAUAUGUAUUAUAUUAACAUUAAUUGAUGAAUAAAUGAUCCAUAAAUUAUGAUUAAAAGAUUAAAUUACCUUAGGGAUAACAGCGUAAUUUUUUUUUUUAGUUCAAAUAAAAAUAAAAGUUUGCGACCUCGAUGUUGGAUUAAGAUAAAAUUUAAAUGCAAAAGUUUAAAAUUUUUGAUCUGUUCGAUCAUUAAAAUCUUACAUGAU
rnacentral:rRNA from 1 species